AUAUAUAUAUAUAUCCACUUUAUAACCUAAAAAUAUCACUAAUAAAAAAAUAUGAAAUAUAUUUGUCCCAUAUGAUAAUAUCGGAGAGAAUGAAAUUACAUGAUAUAUUAGACUGCAAAACAACAUGACUUUUUAUUAAAUUUAUCAUAAAACAUAAUACCAAAAUUUAACUAGUUACAAGCUAAUUUUUCAAAAUAUAACUCGUUACAGUUAGAGUUGUUCAAAAAGGAGAGAGGCUAAGCUACGAAUAACCUAGAUGUAUAGUGCAGAUUGUAUUUAUAUUAAUAAUCUCCUGUGUGUUGAAAUCACUGGAUUUGUACUCGGGACUAUGAGAUGCCAAUCUGAGCAUAAAAUUCUAAAUCUAUCUUGACUUUAAAAAAUAAUUUUUAAACCUUAUGUAUAGCAUUUUAUCUUGCGAAAUAUUUUUAGUGUAAUGAAAAAUAAUGUUUUAUUUUAUAAAACAUAAAUUUAUGUAAUCAAUAUUAUACCAACAUAACAUAACAUAGAUAUAAUAUCUAGUU